CUUCAUUUCCAGUUGAAGCGACUGUUUAGGUCUAUUCCUCAAACCGAUACCCAAUAAAGACGACGAGAGAGGGAAGCCAUAGCCCAUAGCUCAAAUUCAACACUAAACAGCAUCCAUCAAGAACAAACAGAAAGAACAGUCAUCCCUGCAGCUACGGAGGAAUGUAUUACUUUUGCUGAUUCAAUAUCAAUCUAAUUUAUUAUCUAUAAGAGCCUGAUCGCUUGGAUAAGCACUGGUUAAAGGGUGAGCUUGUUGUGAGUUUCACUUAGUGCCACUCCAGGCUAGUAUGAUACAUAAUUAGAUGUGCAGCUUCAAGUGCUUUUUAUGAGUCCUGAUCUUCGGCAUCAAAUGCCUCAAUCAGUGUGUAAGAAGUCUAAAUGCUGUAGUAACAGUAUACGUUGAAUUAAAUGGUUUGUCAACUCUCA